rnacentral:rRNA from 1 species
UACGAAGGGGGCUAGCGUUGUUCGGAAUUACUGGGCGUAAAGCGCGCGCAGGCGGCUAGUCCAAGUCAGUGGUGAAAGCCCGGAGCUCAACUCCGGAACUGCCAUUGAAACUGUUUAGCUUGAGGACGAGAGAGGUGAGUGGAAUUCCCAGUGUAGAGGUGAAAUUCGUAGAUAUUGGGAAGAACACCGGUGGCGAAGGCGGCUCACUGGCUCGUAUCUGACGCUCAGGCGCGACAGCGUGGGGAUCAAACAGG